GACGAACGCUGGCGGCGUGCCUAAUACAUGCAAGUUGAGCGAUGAAGAUUGGUGCUUGCACCAAUUUGAAGAGCAGCGAACGGGUGAGUAACGCGUGGGGAAUCUGCCUUUGAGCGGGGGACAACAUUUGGAAACGAAUGCUAAUACCGCAUAACAACUUUAAACAUAAGUUUUAAGUUUGAAAGAUGCAAUUGCAUCACUCAAAGAUGAUCCCGCGUUGUAUUGGCUAGUUGGUGAGGUAAAGGCUCACCAAGGCGAUGAUACAUAGCCGACCUGAGAGGGUGAUCGGCCACAUUGGGACUGGGACACGGCCCAAACUCCUACGGGAGGCAGCAGUAGGAAAUCUUCGGCAAUGGACGAAAGUCUGACCGAGCAACGCCGCGUGAGUGAAGAAGGUUUUCGGAUCGUAAAACUCUGUUGGUAGAGAAGAACGUUGGUGAGAGUGGAAAGCUCAUCAAGUGACGGUAACUACCCAGAAAGGGACGGCUAACUACGUG
rnacentral:rRNA from 1 species